rnacentral:rRNA from 1 species
UACAGAGGGCGCGAGCGUUGUCCGGAAUCACUGGGCGUAAAGGGCGCGUAGGUGGCACGAUAAGGCCGUGGUGAAAGUCUGAGGCUCAACCUCAGAUCUGCCGCGGCGACUGUCGAGCUUGGGCACCGUAGAGGCAGAUGGAAUUCCGGGUGUAGCGGUGGAAUGCGUAGAGAUCCGGAAGAACACCGGCGGCGAAGGCGGCUGCCUGGACCGGCCCUGACGCUGAGGCGCGAAAGCUAGGGGAGCAAACAGG